AAAGUAUCUUCGGAUAUGAGUAGAGCGGCGGACGGGUGAGUAACGCGUAGGAAUCUACCUAGUAGAAGGGGAUAGCCCGGGGAAACUCGGAUUAAUACCGUAUACCUCCUUUGGGAGAAAGAGGGCCUCUCUUGAUGCUCUCGCUAUUAGAUGAGCCUGCGUAAGAUUAGCUUGUUGGUGAGGUAAUGGCUUACCAAGGCUACGAUCUUUAGCUGGUCUGAGAGGACGAUCAGCCACAUUGGGACUGAGACACGGCCCAGACUCCUACGGGAGGCAGCAGUGGGGAAUAUUGGACAAUGGGCGCAAGCCUGAUCCAGCCAUACCGCGUGUGUGAAGAAGGCCUUCGGGUUGUAAAGCACUUUAAGCAGGGAGAAAAAGUUAUAAGUUAAUACCUUGUAACCGUGAUGUUACCUGCAGAAUAAGCACCGGCUAAUUCCGUGCCAGCAGCCGCGGUAAUACGGAAGGUGCAAGCGUUAAUCGGAAUUACUGGGCGUAAAGCGCGCGUAGGUGGUUUGUUAAGUUGGAUGUGAAAGCCCUGGGCUCAACCUAGGAACUGCAUCCAAAACUAACUCACUAGAGUACGAUAGAGGGAGGUAGAAUUCAUAGUGUAGCGGUGGAAUGCGUAGAUAUUAUGAAGAAUACCAGUGGCGAAGGCGGCCUCCUGGAUCUGUACUGACACUGAGGUGCGAAAGCGUGGGUAGCGAACAGGAUUAGAUACCCUGGUAGUCCACGCCGUAAACGAUGACAACUAGCUGUUGGGAGACAAUGUCUUUCAGUGGCGCAGCUAACGUUUUAAGUUGUCCGCCUGGGGAGUACGGCCGCAAGGCUAAAACUCAAAUGAAUUGACGGGGACCCGCACAA
rnacentral:rRNA from 1 species